rnacentral:rRNA from 1 species
CCUACGGGAGGCAGCAGUAGGGAAUAUUGGUCAAUGGCCGGAAGGCUGAACCAGCCAUGCCGCGUGAAGGUCAGUGCCCUAUGGGCGUUAAACUUCUUUUGUGCGGGAGCAAUAAUGGUCACGUGUGGCCAGACGAGAGUACCGUACGAAUAAGCAUCGGCUAACUCCGUGCCAGCAGCCGCGGUAAUACGGUGGAUGCAAGCGUUAUCCGGAUUUAUGGGGUUUAAAGGGUGCGUAGGCUGUGCGGUAAGUCAGCGGUGAAAGGCCCCCGCUCAUAGGGGUGAAGUGCCAUUGAUACUGCCUUGCUGGAAUGCGGAUGCCGUGGGAGGGAUGUGUGGUGUAGCGGUGAAAUGCAUAGAUAUCACACAGAACACCGAUUGCGAAGGCAUCUCACGAAUCCGCGAUUGACGCUGAUGCACGAAAGCGUGGGUAUCAAACAGGAUUAGAUACCCGAGUAGUC